AAAAGAAAGCGAUAUUGGUGAGGUUCAAUCUGAAGACAUAUUUACCAAGCUGUAAAAGACGAUCUCUGAUUGAGCCGCGCCAAUAUCACUUUCCACACC
rfam:Helianthus annuus linkage group 9, whole genome shotgun sequence.